GCAAUUGUUGUUGUUUUAGAAUCCAAAUGACUGUAGAGCUACUUACAAAUGUGUCUCAUCUGAAUACAAUGUUGUAAAUCUAUAGAGCUCUGUCGUCUAAAGCAAAAAUUUUUGUUUAAAGCACCAACAUACAAACUCAAAUAUAAUUCAUAUAUUAAUUUACUUUAUAGCACAGGCAAUUAAUGUGGUUUUUGUUUGUUUUUGUGUAUAUUAAAUAUUGUACCUAAUCAUUUAAAAUAUAAAAAAAAGGCAGCGUUGUAAACUUAAGAUAUAGUUUCAUUCUCAUUGAAUUUUCUUCAUUAUUUAGGAGAUUGGUUUUUUGUUUCAGUAUCCGUUACUUCAAUUUCUGUACGCAUAUCAGUAACAAAUAUAUCAUAUGCGCUCUUUACUAUAUAAUGUAUAGGUACAUAUAAUCAUAUAACAUCUAAAGCCAAGCUCCUGUAAUAUACACAACACUUGAGGCACUUAAAUGUGUGCUCAAAGACCAUAUUUUUUUUUCUGACAUUUCUUAUAUUAUUUGCUUAUAAGCAUAAUUCUAAACGGUAUAUUAUCUCUCGUAACAGUGUCAUCAAAAAGGAAAAUCAGUGCCGUAAUCAGGAUGAUAUGAUUGCUAAUUGAGUUAAAGAAACAGAAA
rnacentral:lncRNA from 1 species